GGGAUUUUUACUUCCUAGAGGAAAGAGAGCGGUGGCUGGAGGCUGGUCUGCAUUUGUAAAACAACGUGACAACGUAGGGAAAGACACCACCAUUCCUGCCCUGCGAUGCCCUUGCGUUUCUUUGUACUUCACACUGUGGACAGUAGAAGCAGGAGCCAAGGGGUGAAUUUAAUUUGGAACAGACCUCUGUCUUGGUGGAACCGCCUCGAACACAGCAACCUGCAGCUUCCUGAGGCCGGGCCUCAGCCGGGGCUCUCACAGGCUCCAGAAACGAAGUCCAACCUCCACGCGUGUCAGAGCCCACCCAGCUGCCACCACCAGCCACAGUGGUGUGGGCUCCCGAGGCAGCCGGGGAGCGACACUUCUCUCCCUGAUGUAAUCAAACUGAGUGCACGGAUAUCACUUGAUUAACAGCUGCAGUAUUAAUUUCCCUUUUUGGUUGCUUGACUCACAGCGAGAAUCAUGUCAAGGCAGCAGAGAAGCAAUUAAAUUGAUUUUAAUCUUUGUCAGAGAAGAUAACAUGCCUCUUUCUCUUCUCAUUUAAAUAAUUAAAGUUUCAGUAGGUAUUA